GCCUCAGGUCAGUAUACUCCCGUGGUCGUAUUGACUUACUGUUGAGGGUUGUCGGACGUGUAUUUAUCUAUGUUAUACACUACACCAGAUUUCAGAAAGUAUGUUUCCCAAGUUUCUCAGAAAAGGCAUAAAACUAAGUUGUUCAAAAUAAGAAAAAGAAAAAGCUAAUUCACCUGAAGAAAAACAAAUAGGAAGUCUUUGUUAGAAGAU
rnacentral:misc_RNA from 1 species